rnacentral:rRNA from 1 species
UACGGAGGGGGCUAGCGUUGUUCGGAAUUACUGGGCGUAAAGCGCGUGUAGGCGGCUAGGCAAGUCGGUUGUGAAAGCCCGGGGCCCAACCCCGGAACUGCAUCUGAAACUGCCUGGCUAGAGUCCCGGAGAGGAAGGCAGAAUUCCCGGUGUAGGGGUGAAAUCCGUAGAUAUCGGGAGGAAUACCAGCGGCGAAGGCGGCCUUCUGGACGGUGACUGACGCUGAGACGCGAAAGCGUGGGGAGCAAACAGG